CCGCCGGCCGCCGUCGCCGGAAUCCCAAUCCUCACCAAAAUUUCCAGAUUUUCUUCUCUUCAUCCCCUCUUUCCAAUUCUCCAACCAAAAUCAAGAAAUUUGGCCAUCCAACCCUCCAAAAACCUUAGAACCCGAAGCUAAAUUGGGGCUUUUUGUGAUUUCUUCUUUCCAAGUUCAAAUCAAGAGGCUAGGCUAUGGGUUUGGCAAGGAUUUGUGGUGAAGAAGGCCAAUGAGGAGGAUUAGGCCAUGAGUUUUGAAGAAGAAAGGGAAACACGAUCGUUAAGGAAGCUUAAGCGGAAAGCGUCAGAGUGUGGAAUACGCCGGCAUUUCCAGUGUGCAGGUUUCGAGCAUGUGGUCGGGAAGCGUACAGGGGAGGCACAUGGCCCGGCUUGGCGCAUUUCUCUUUAGUUUUAUCAAAAGGAAGGUUUUGGUCCCUUAUCGGAUUUUGAAGUAACUUGGUUAUUUAUUUUCUCACUAAUUCAUUUGUUUAUUUGUUUUCUAUUCGCUCAUUUACAAAAUUUCGAGAGACCCGUAACCCUGGGGCGCGUCUCUCAUACUUGUUUUCACUUUGUGAUUUGUUAUUUUCUAAAUUGGACUCCUAUUGUAAGCCCAAAUCUUUUAGCUCACUUUAAAAAUUCCGCUUGCGAAAAUAUGUUGUUCGGUUGCUAGAAUGUU